GAUGAACGCUGGCGGCGUGCUUAACACAUGCAAGUCGAACGGUGAAGCAGGAGCUUGCUCUUGUGGAUCAGUGGCGAACGAGUGAGUAACACGUGAGCAACCUGCCCCUGACUCUGGAAUAAGCGCUGGAAACGGCGUCUAAUACUGGAUAUGUGAUGUGACCGCAUGGUCUGCAUCUGGAAAGAAUUUCGGUUGGGGAUGGGCUCGCGGCCUAGCAGCUCGUUGGUGAGGUAAUGGCUCACCAAGGCGUCGACGGGUAGCCGGCCUGAGAGGGUGACCGGCCACACUGGGACUGAGACACGGCCCAGACUCCUACGGGAGGCAGCAGUGGGGAAUAUUGCACAAUGGGCGGAAGCCUGAUGCAGCAACGCCACGUGAGGGAUGACGGCCUUCAGGUUGUAAACCUCUUUUAGCAGGGAAGAAGCGAAAGUGACGGUACCUGCAGAAAAAGCACCGGCUAACUACGUGCCAGCCGCCGCAGUAA
rnacentral:rRNA from 1 species